rnacentral:tRNA from 6 species
GGCUGGAUAGCUCAGCGGUAGAGCAAACGUUUCAUAAGCGUUAGGUCGGGAGUUCGAAUCUCCCUCCAGCCA